rnacentral:rRNA from 1 species
AAUAUUGCGCAAUGGAGGGAACUCUGACGCAGCGACGCCGCGUGAGCGAUGAAGGUCUUCGGAUCGUAAAGCUCUGUCCUUGGGGAAGAAGGUCUUCGGACUUGACGGUACCUAAGGAGGAAGCCCCGGCUAACUACGUGCCAGCAGCCGCGGUAAUACGUAGGGGGCAAGCGUUGUCCGGAAUUAUUGGGCGUAAAGCGCGCGCAGGCGGCUUCUUAAGUCUGAUGUGAAAUCCCACGGCUCAACCGUGGACGGUCAUUGGAAACUGGGGAGCUUGAGUGCAGGAGAGGAGAGUGGAAUUCCUGGUGUAGCGGUGACAUGCGUAGAGAUCAGGAGGAACACCGAUGGCGAAGGCAGCUCUCUGGCCUGUAACUGACGCUGAGGCGCGAAAGCGUGGGGAGCAAACA